UGGGGGAUAUGGUUUUCUCCUAAAAUAGAUAUUUUGAUCCCAAAUUUUAUGAGAAAAAAAUUUAUUAUGGUCAAGCAGAUGACAAAUUAAUGUUUUGAAUGAUUCCUGAUUUUCCAAAUACCUUUAAUAGUGCUCAUUGGCGGAUCCAGGGGGGGGGGGGGGGGGAUUCCGUAUACGAUUGAUCGACCAACCCCCCUUUUUUGUUGGCCGAUCAAUGCAUUUGAAUGGGGACAUAUAGUUGGAACCCCCCUUUUUAAAAUGACU
rnacentral:lncRNA from 1 species